rnacentral:rRNA from 1 species
GACGAACGCUGGCGGCGUGCUUAACACAUGCAAGUCGAGCGGUAAGGCCCUUUCGGGGGUACACGAGCGGCGAACGGGUGAGUAACACGUGGGUGACCUGCCCUUAGCUCUGGGAUAAGCCUGGGAAACUGGGUCUAAUACCGGAUAUGACUCCAUGACGCAUGUUGUGGGGUGGAAAGCCUUGUGCGGCUAGGGAUGGGCCCGCGGCCUAUCGAGUC